UACUGAGUCGUCCUUAGCUUCCACAGAGAAGAAGGCUUUGCAGACGGGAUGCAGUCUUCUAGAAGGCACCGGGUUAUAAAAGUCCAUUCAGCCCAGAGGACUGACAGCAGUCUCAGACUCGGAGCAAGUUCCCCUCUUCUGAAGUCUCACAUCCCUCACGUGGAGGAUGGAGAGACUCUUACCGUCCCCCGCAGUGUCCUUGUGAAGAUAAAACGAGGUUGCUUCAAUCAGGUGCCUGGCAAAGCACCUAGGACGCGGCGAAUAACUCCUUGUGAAUGAAACACAACGAUGACGUGGGUACGUUUGCUCGGAAUCUCGACAGGCCAGCGCCAGGCCAAACUGCCCAGGUGUCUGCUUCGUCUGGUGGUUUUGGUUCUCUCGGCUCCCACCCGACAGAGGCCUGCGGAUCGACACGCCGUGCCCACCCGGGAACAACACGGGGCUGCGUGGUGGCAAGGAAGAAGAGAACCCAAUACCACUCAUAUUAACUAAAAUACAUGUGAACACACGCUGCCCAUGUAUAGGGACACUCACACAUUCACGGGGAUACGGUCUCAUACCAGUGAAGGGGAUGGGCGGGGAGGAGGGAAUCUGUAGGUAAGGAGCGUGUCAGGAGAGGGCCACCUGCCCUGGCAGUGAUGCCGGGGUCCUGAGCCUGGAAGGAUGAGUAGAGCCGCUCCCUGCGGAGGCCACCCAGAGAGCUGAGAAAUAGGGAAAAAAUGGGCAAUAACCGUGAAGUUUCUGUCACAGAUGCCAUCGAACCUUCAGCCUGUGCAUGAGGCUCCAGGGAGUCUUCUAGCCGCACAAAGAACCUUCCAGGCUGACUCUUCCGUUCAUUCUGAGCAUCCAGUGUUGACUCGUCCAGACCCUGGCACCUGGGUGGAUUCAUAUGGGCUCACCUGGCAAUUUCUCAGUUUCCAAAUAAACACAAACAGCUUGUGUCUGA